UUUGAAGAUGUUUAGUCUAUUGUAGUGGUGCGUCAUUUUUUUUGCUUUUGUAUAAUGUUGUAUGUAUAAGUUGUAUUAUGUAAUAAGGUUCCACUCAGGUCUCCUCCCUUUUUCUCUCUCUCCAGCAGCUCUCGCUCGCCCUGCCACUUACCCUAUUCCCCUCCCAUUCCCCUCCCAGUUAGUUGAUUGUUACAUUGUUCACCCCGCCCUGAGCCUCUGUCAGUUACAGGCAAACACCUCCCUUCUCCCAGAAAGUUCCACCGAGGUUGGCCUGUGAUUGGUUCAGGGGCCAGGGCUCCUCCCCAGUUGCCCCCUGUCUGGAUCCCCGAAGUUGUCAGUUAUGUUGUUCCUCCCAUGUUCUUAUUUACUAUUGGUUGAUUGUUCUCAUAUUUAACAUGCUGUCAACUCCGGGUUAUUCGGAGUCCAGCAGACGUCCUCCAAUAAACCUGACCCCUGUUACCACGUCUCUGGCCUCUCGCCUUUUUUACCUCCAACGGGUUGCAGCUGCUUCUCACCACCUGUUCCUGUGGUCCUCUGUCCUAAGGCGAAAGCCUUAGGCGCUCUCCUGCUGAGGAAGCUUCUGCGGGAGAGUGCCCCCCUGCUGCCGGCGGUGCUGGCCGAGCUAGCGCGGACAACCAACGAUUUUAGAGGAAGCCAGGCACCGCCGCUGCAGUCUAUGUUUGCCUCCUGUCUAGCCAGGGCACUUGGAGUGGUUUCUUCCCCUAGCCUGCCGCGGUUUUCUCUGCCUCCCCGCUCUGUGCCACUGUCUGCCCUUCCAGCUGCACGGCUCCCGCUCUCUGCCGGAUCCCAUGCCCUGCCGGCUCCCCCUCCGCAGCUGGCACCCCUCUCCGCCCGGGAAAGGAGGUCACCCCGCGGGGCAUCGGCCGCCUCGCUCCUGCCCGCGCUGCCGGCACCGCUGAGCCUCCCGUGAGCCACGGCUCCUGGCGAGAGGGGAUCGCUCACACGAGCACCGCUGCUGCCAGCGCCGUGAGGAGAGAGACUGUCCCCGCCGUGAGGACAGAGACUGUCCCCGCCGCGCUGCCGCUGCCUGCGAGUGCUGCGCCAUCUUCUCACGCCGGCGCUGCUGCCACCGCGGCAAAGAACAGCUCCUGUGCCACGCUGCCGAUUCCAAGCAACGCCAUCCUGGCGCGGGACAGAAAUAAAGCGGCUCGGAGAAGCCAGCACUGGUCGUUCCUUAUUUCCUUUAUAAUGAAUCUCAGAGGCUGAGCCCGCGUUCCGAGCAGCCGAACUGUGACCCUGCCGGCCGGCGGCAGAGGUCGGGCACGGCCGCUCCUGGGCCUGCCCCGAUCGCCUGCAGGGACUGGGGCACGCUGGUGCACAACUCAGCUGUCUGCAGGGCGCACGGACGCUGCUGCCAAGUGAAGUUCGUGGUCCGUCAAGUGCUGCCGGUGAAUUUGCACACUUUCUGCUUGCUGCAGCUCCCGGGAAAGUCAACCCCCUCCAUUCCAGACAUGAGAGGAGUUUUCCCCUGGAUCAAGGACUACCUCCGAGAUUUUAGUUUCCAAGAAUCUUGGGUUUCGUGAGUAUUCCGGUGGCUGGGACGGACCGGACUGGGGUACCUUAAAAUUGGGUGGGGGUGACUCCCGGGGAUUAGGGGAGGCACAGUGCACAACAUUAAAAACUCCUCUGGCUGGUGAUUGUUGGGUGUUUUUGUUUUACCUGGGAGAUGGAUGGAAAAGAACCUAGCAAACAGUCUCAGUCUGAGUUUUCUCGUGGCCAGGACGGACCCGACUGGGGUGCAAUGGGGUACAGCGAGACUGUCUGCUAGGGAGAAGGAAGUUUAUAAGCAAAAUGUGGAUUCCUUGGUGGGGGAGGGUUUUGUUUAUCUAAGGUGUUAUAAAUGAUAAGCUUGACUAAGCCAAUAUUCAAGCAGCAGUCAAUUUAUUAAUUAAUAUGGUAAAGUAUGAGCAAUACAGCGCUGGCUACAGUGGGGGAAAUUUUCCCUCCAACUGCACACCGAUAGUUGGGGCUUACAGGUGUUUAUAGGGGUACUCAUAAGCUUUCUCAGCAGUUUGUAUUCCAAAUUUUUACGUCACAAUUCUAUACACUAUUGUGAUUUAGUUUUUCUCAGGAUGUAUCCCAGAAAGGAGUAUCCCCAGAUAGCGGGGUCCGGCUUCUGAAAGAAGAAAGAAGUCUCCAAGCUGGUGAGGUCCAGAUUCCAGAUGUGGGUUCACCUUUUAAUUGCAAGGACUAUAAAUCUCAUAACAGUGAUGUCCAGCUUCCCUUGGUUGAAAUGAUCAGUCCUUAAGUUGAUCCUCCUUUCUCAAGCUGCUUUUCACUGUUUUGUUAAGGCGUUGGGAUAAGCGUGUUUGCUUUUGAUAUCAUCUAAAGCUAUAGUUUCAAAGAUCCUUACUACAAGCAAUAUUCUAAAAUGAUACUUCAAAAGGUUAGUAUUGCAAAACUCUUUUUAGCUCAAAGCAGAAAGUUCCUGUCAAACAGCAACAUCCCUAAAGCUUUAAUUCAAAUGCUCCUAAAUCAAGAUUUAUAAAGGUUAAUUGUGAACAAAGGAGAGGUUCAAAGGCCUUCUUCCAUGCUUUCCUUCCUCAGUUAUUUAUUAGAAUUGUCUUUAUAACUGUCCCACAGUCAGUUUCCACACAUAUCACAAUCACAGAUACACACAUUGGUUGUAUGCUCCUGACACGAAACACAGCUUUGUAUUUCUCACUAUUACGUAGAUAAGUCUCUAUUAGACAACUGAGUCUUCUGACCUAAGGAAGGCUGAGAUAAUUCUGGAAAGAUUGUAAUAUAUACCAGUUAACGUUAUAACAGGGAACUUCAAGUGACUUUCAGAUUAAUUAGUGACAAAGGAAGUUAAUAUUUUUUCCUUCUGCUGUUAGGAUAAGAAGAGGUUUUGUUCUUGACUGAAACAGUUAUGACAGAAGAAAGCCCCGAUAAUGUCCCUUACACUGUGACUUGAGCAGCUCAGUUUGCUCCUGGGAAGUGAUUAUAAUAUAGUCACUGUUUGUAUGGCUACUUCCAAACAAAUACCCUUCUCACCAAGGCAUAGGGAAAAAUGGAAGGACCAACAGGAAAACCAGAGUACAAAAUCAAAACUACUUUGUGUUACCAUACCACAUUUUAAUUAAUCCUUAUUCCACCUGGCACCAGAAAUGUAUAUAGUGUAUGAAACUGGUUCCAUCUCAAUUGAAAAAUAAAUCAUUUUGUCUUUAAAUUAAUGUUCAUUUCAACUCCUUUUUAGGAAAAAAAAUACACAUUUUGAUGGAUUUAAACUGAUUUUGAAAUUUGGAUUUUCUUUCAUUUUUAUUGUAAUUUUAAUAUAAAAUUCUUUUGUUAAAUUAAAGCAAAGCUAAGAGCUUCUAUUUAGACCAUAAGGUCCUGGUCCAAAGAAUCACACAAACCUUAAAAAAUUUUAGAUUUCUUCUGUCAACUUCAGAGUUUUGUGCAAGCCUACAGACAAGAAAGGAAAUUCUGGGCAUGUGAUUCAUUCUGUUUUUGUGUAAUUUCACUGGUGCCAUACCUUAAAAGGAAAAAAUAAGGUUUUUUUUCCACAGGGAAAAAUAGUUUAUCCACUGUAAGGUAGCAAAAGCAGUAUUAGGUGAGGUUUGUGCUUUUUACACAGGAAACUUCCAUCUGAAAUGAAAUUGGGUCCUUGAUUUCAAUGACACCUUUAGCUUCAGUGAACCCAGAUUUCAUUUCAAGCUCCUAAAGCAGUAUGUGUUCAUUUCAGUCUGCUGGAUUUGCUCAUCUAUUGGCCCAGUAGCCCAUGAAUUGGAUCUCCAGCUGUGGAAUGUGGUCUCAAUGGUUUUAAUCAGCCAAAGAGGCAAUCAGGGUUGAUGCAUAAGAGACCCAUUCUGGAGAUGGACAGCCACCAUUUAUCUCCAGUAAAGGAACCUCCAGGAAGGCCUCGUUUAAAUUCCCUGCUCCUUGAGUCCUAAUCUUCCUAAAUUAGUGCUCCCUGCUGUUAGAGGAAAGGAAGUAGUCCCAUUGCUGCUCCUUUGGUCUGAGGUAACCUUGAAAGAUCUGUUGAAAAAGAGAGUUACUAAUAUUGUACUUUAUUUUGAGAUUAUAUUUUGCUUGUUAAUGUUUGGUGUCAGGUAUCCCACAGCUACUGGCCCCAGGAUAAGCAACUUGUUCCAGGAAUUGCUCUAAAAUGAGGAUUUACAGGCGAUGGACUAAUACGGACCUCAAUCUGUGCAAAAGGUUAACAGCCCAUCACAAAGUCUGAUCAGGACCAGAGGUGGCUCUUACCUUUGUGAAAUUAAAGCAUGCUGAGAUUGCAGUGACUAAUAGUUGUGGACAUUUAUAGCCAGUAAACAGAAGCUCUGAAAAAAACCUGGAGCUGAGCAUCAGGCAGCGUCAGCUGUUACAAACACAAAUUUCUGUUGCUCAUUCUGAAAUAGUAGGUUUCUGCUUCCUCUUCUCAUAAGACUUUGACAAAGCAGUUGCCUGUCUAUGCAACAUAAAUCGAGAUGGAUCUGUAAGGGAUCCCAGUUCAGUAAUGCCAAGGUUCAGCAGUUAAAAGACAGCAUAAAUCUGAUGAAAAUGAACGCAAGAGAGAUUGUAGCCUUCACCCACUGUAAAACUCAAUUUGAUGUGGGUCAGAUUGCAGCUGAGUCUUUUCUUCUUCAGUAAACCGGGCAUGGUGGGGUGUCUUUUCAGAGCCUUUGAACCCUCUGUGCAAAAGCUCUUUCCAGCUGUCUUUCAUAUUUAAAAAGUAUCACUUAGCAAAUUGGUCAUGGAUUAUUUAAUAAUCCUUCUUGGUCAAGGCUUUGGUUGAAUAACUUACUCAAAACUUGGAUUAAUGUAAGCAUGCUUUAGUUUUGUCUUUGAUAUUUUAUGAAUUGGAGUUCCAUUCCUGGAGUUCUAUUCACCAGUGAGUCUUUGAGAGGAUAACUCCUGAGAAGUAGCAGUCUCACUUGCUUUCUCUCCAUUAUUUUAUUGAUUCCUUAUUUGUACAUAGGCUUCAAAAUGUUACUUCAUUACCAUACUUCUGGCUUUUCCAGACUAGCUGGUGCAUGGAGAUACAUAUUCCGGAAUGAAAGCAUUUUAUCACGUUUUUGAACAGGAAACUACCUUCCAGUUAUACAAAUUGCCCAAAUCAAGUAGAUAAAUGCAAGUGUUAGCAACAAGGAAGAAUUAUUUGGAACUCAUUUGUAUUCAGGUUAUCACAUUCAUCGUCCUCAGUCUUAGUCUGUGAUCCAUUGGAGCUCCUAAUAAUGUUUAACUAUUUCCUUCAUUUUCUGUUUCCUGUUCUUUAUCUCAUCUUUGUUACUUUCACUCACCCUGACGAUAAUGUAUAUAAAAUCAUUAAAGAAACAAAUAGUUGUAAGGCCAUCUCUUGGCUGAUAACUAGCAAAAAGAGGUUGUCUCAUUUUAAAAUUUAUGGUUUUGCUGAGAGUAAAAUUCACUGUAACUGCACAGUUUCCAGCUAGGAGAAAAAUUGAGAAAGAAUGGCUGAGGCAGGAGAGGGGUUUGUUUAUGUCAGACUGGUGGAAGGUUUUUUCUGACUCUUAUCAGGGCCAUGGCAUGCCAGUUUAUGCCAGGAUUCAGGUAUUCCCAGCAGAGCUGUGGGACUGUGGUGUCAUGUGUAACUUCAGUAGGGGCCUGGGGCAGCACAAUUCUUCAUUCUGAAAGUCAAAAAUGAGCCUAGAAAUAUCAUAAUAGAAGCUGAAAUUAGCUCAUCAUGACCAGCUUCUGUUUCUGUACUCGUGUUUUUAAGCAACUGAGAAAAAAAUCGAUUGGAUAAUCGUACAGCUGCCACAGGGAAGAUGCAUAUUCCCAGUCAGACACAUGCAGCCACUUCAAGGCCCAUAUGUCCUUCAAACUGACAGGAUUCUUUGGAAAAAGCCAUCUGGGCACUGUCACCUUUUUAACAAUGUGCAGUGACUCCAUAAAGUGAGACGUGUUAGCAAACAGAGAGUUCAUGCAAUGUCUGUAGAAAUUACUGCUUUGGAUCGCUACAUCUGUCAAAGAUUUUAAGAAACCCCAAAUUGCUUUGAAACACAAAAUACAAUAAGCUUGCCCAAGGUAACCUCUUAGUGCGCUGUCAUUCACAGAGUUGCAUGGGCCAGGUUUGAAAAGCAGCAAAUGGCUGAAGAAUGUGCAAUUUGUGCUGAACAGACACAGAAAGAAGCUGAAUAAUCACAGCCAGAACGACCCUCAGACUGUGAACCCUAAAGCACUGUGGCUGCCCGUGCCCACACUUCAAGCUGUGAAUGUGUGGGGCUUGAAGGAUGUGCAUGCAUUCACCUGCUGCUGCUGAAUUUACCACUGAAUUCAUGGAAGGAUUAGGACACUUUAACUAAAAAACCUCCUCCACCCUCAGAAGUCACCCACAUAUACCAGGAGAGGAGGCUUUAAGAGACAGUACACCCAAGUUUUAGGUGACAAAGCUCUCUUUUAGCAGCAGCAGCAAAGGCACCCCUCAGUCAGAGAGGAAAUCCCAAUUGUGUGGUAUUUCCUGCAAGUGUGAGUUACCAUGUCCCCAGCCCCUGGGUUCAAGAGCCUCCAGUGUGGAAAUGAGGGCACAGGGGAAGGGAGCUGAGGUACAAAGGGGUGUGGGCAGAAAUGAGCCUGAGCUUGAGAGCUUAGGAGUCAUCUUGGGUCACUUGAGCCUUCUUGUAACUGGGGAUCCUCUGAGUAAAAACUGACCAAGAGUGUCAGCUGACUCACCAAACCUGCUGUGGAAACCAUUCUCUUCACUUCAAGUUCUCAUCUUUUCCCUUUAUAUUGUGUAAAUAAAAAAGGGCAAAUUUAAUCUCCUAUUUUAGUAAUUCUGCAAGACUUAAGACAUGAACAGACAUCCAUGCCUGUGAAUAUGCCAUAAACAUUCUCCUUAGGUCUCAAAAACGUCUUUUUAGAGGCCAGCAUUGGAAAAAGGCUUUAAAACUGUUGUGUCUCCAGCUGCCUCCAGAUCAGAUCCAUGACAUCUGAUUUCUCUCUGCUUACAGAGGGAGAAAAGUUAUGUUCAGUUUUAGCAAAUUAAUUGCUCAAUUUUUUUAUUUUUUUUUUUAAGGUUGAAUUAAAUAAAUAAUGUAUCAAAUGUAGGGGGGACAUAAUUUUUAAAGGGAAUUGAGGGGCAUAGCUGCACAGCAGUGAGACAGGGAUUGUUGCUGUUGUUUUCACCAGGAAACAACUGCAUUCAGUGUGUAAGAGUCUAAGCAGAUACUGGCUGUAGUGGACUGUAGUUACUGAGGGAUAAACCUUGUGGUUACCAUAGAGAGCCCUUGGCUGCAGUGAAUUAACAUUGCCUAAGUCAGGAGUGCAUCACAGAGUGUGUUAAGACCAGUGCUGCUCUGCUUCCUUUCCUGUGUUAUAAUUUCUUAGAUGAAUCAGUGGGCAGGCAAAGUUCAAGGCUCACAGGAGAGCUGAGCAGUUGCACCAAGUCACCACAGUAAUUACCAGUAUUCUGCUCAGCAGCACUCUCCAUGUGUGCUUCAGCCUUUAACUGGUACCUCAGGUGAUGCUGGUGCUGGGGUUUUGUUACUCUGGGGUGAGUAGGCAACACAAUAAAACCUGCUGGAAGAAACGUGUAAACUGAAUUUAUGAAAUAACAAUCCAGCUGCUUCCAUGGAAUCAGUAAAUCAAUCUGACAGAAAUCACUAUGCACAAUGCACUCAGAACUAGGGACACCUUCCCACAAAAGUAUUUGAGUCUGAUUCACUACAUUGGUCUGAUGAGGGAUGGCUUUGGUCUGUAAAUUCACCCUAUUUGUGCUUGAUGCUGUACAUGGAGUGAAAAAACCCAGUAGAGAUUUUAGGAACACACAACUGAGCUUCAGCAUUAAAACAAUAUUAAUAAAGCCACGUGCACUUAAAAUAAUAAAUUUUAUGAAAAGGAGAAAUAAAUUUACAAUUAAGAUUGUCAGAAGAUCCUCUCUGCCUGAAAAGAAAAACACCAAAAGUGAAAAAACCACACAAAAGACCCAGAAGAAAAUAAUACUUUUUUUGGAAUAACACAUGGGAGCAACUGGUGCAGUUAUUAUGUCAGGCCAAAUAAAAAAAUAUUUCAGAGAGUGUAAACAUAGGCUGAUAUGCACUACAGCUCGGGGUUUGUUACUGCAUUGUGUAACAUGAAAAGGUGAAACACACACUCAGGAGACAAAUGUGGUAAGUGUUGUGGUUUUCCCAGCAUGCAGAGCUGAGAAAAUAAGUCAAGUUUGCUAAAUUUUGCACUUUCUGCCUGGUUUCUGUUUUAUAAUGCCACCUUACACUGGCUGGGAUGGGAUAAUGAAUGCAGUAUAUUUAGACUACUUAAAAAAUUUGGUUUUAUUUUUUUCUGUUCAGUUUCUUGCACAGGUACAGGUAUAUGUCUGUUCCUCUUGUGCUGUGAAUGCACAAUGAACCCCCUGGGAACAGACAUGGAGCAGAGUUAGUGUUGAAUGUACAAAGUCACCUCCUGUACCAAGAGAUCUUUCCUUCAGCAUUGUUUGCACCUACCUCCCACAGGUGUAAAUAGCUACAAAAUGCAUGGGAACGUUGCAGAACAGCAGAGAUCAGAAGGAGGAAUAAGUCUGGGGAGGAAAAUACUUGGAGAAAAAAAAGGAGAUGCAGGCAAACCAUGGUAUUGGAAGGUGGUGAGGAGAUUUAGCUGUGACACUUCACUGUUCUCUACUUUGAUGGCAAGGAACCAUUUUUUCUGAGGAUGAGGAGUAUUUUUUUUGAACCAGGUUUGUUCCCAAGCUGUGGUGACACAUUGUCACUUGGUUACUCUGCUGCACUUUCUGUCCAGGAGAUACUGGAUGUGCACAGCUGCCAGCUUUAGGUAGCAGUAGUGGUUUGUAACCAAAAAUACAACAAACACUUGGAAAAUUUGAAAUAAGAAAUAAGAAGGCACUCUGAAAAGUCUGCCCAGGAGCUGUGCCUGUCUCCUUGGUCCCCAGGCAAGCAGGGAGGCUGGGUGGACUGUGGGAUCCUCAAGAGUACAUGCAAGUAGGGCCAUAAUUUUAUAAUCCAUGUUUUGAAACUGGAUCCUUUAAAGCAGUGCCCCUGUUGCUUUUUUUUUCUACCAUGUACUAAAAUUUAAAUACUUCAACACUCUUUAAGAAAAAAAAUUAAUAUAAAAAUAAAUAUCAAUCAUAUUAAUAUAAAUGUUUGAAUGUUGCAGUGUAGGUCAGAAGAACAAAUUGAUUCCAAUUCAGAAAUAAUCUUUGAUUUCUUUCCCUCCUUUCAGAAAAAGAGAAAUAUUUAUGUUUCCACUGAAUGUGUUCAGUAAACAGUUAUAUGAUAACCAUGUAAAUCCAUUGUUUUAAGAAGGGGGGAAUUAAUUCUUUUGUUGCCUUUGCAACCAGAAGCAGCAUUUUUCUGCAGUAUCUGCCUAAGACAGCAGUGAAUUUGAGUCUAAAUUGACACAUGUACGUCUUGAAAAAGUUAUGGUGGUCUUGAAGUUAAAUGAUUGCAAUGCUUUUGUCUUCUGAAGAAAUUUCCUGCCAUUGGACUACUGCAAAUUUUGUAGUGGCUCCAGAGUGUUUGGUCAUUAUUUCCUGCUGACAAUUUCUGUCUGAUUUUACCCUAAGAAAGGCUCUUAGUGACACAUACCUGGUCAGCUGCUCUUUCUGUCUGUGUGUAAUGCUGGCGCUUGGAAAUUCAGGUGCUGCUUUGGAAACACAGCACUUUCAGCAUCUGCUGCUCAGGGACUCAGAAAGAGCACUGACAACAGCUGGCCUUGGAGAUUUUGCCUUUUUGCUUCAAAGAAAACUGCUGCAGUAGAUGCAGCACAAGGAGAAGGAAGAGUUCAGUCUGCCCCUGAGCUUUGCAGCUUUAUUUAAUCAGGGUAUGCCACGCUCUUUAGUUCCUUCCAUUGAGAGAGUUGGGUGGGGAGACACAGAUUAACAUGGCUGCUUAUUUUAAUGUCUAUUUACUUGUAGAUUUUCCUAUAGAGAGGCUAGGGAUGGUAGCCUACAGCAAACUCUGUUCUCAUGAAACAGAUAUUAUUCUGCCUUAGCAGCAGGAGGGCAAAUUCCAGCUAUCAGUAGCAAGGGAUUUUUAUUUUAGUUUUGUCAGGGAGAAUGGGAAAUUAAAAAUACUUUUUCUUCCUUAGAUGCUAAUGUAUCUUUUACUAGUUUUUCUAGGCUGUAGGAUAAUGAGAAGUGCAGAAUAAUGUUCUUUUACGGAGCCUUAUUUCCUUGUACCAUUUCAGUUAAAUGCAAGUUGAUGUUUGGCUUCUCCUUCUUCAGCUUUUUGGCUAAACGUUUCCUAAAACUCCAGUGGCUGUCUCAGCACCACACUGCCUGUAUAUCUGUAAAACCAGCUCAUAAAGAGGAGGAGCAUCCCAAAAGA